rnacentral:rRNA from 1 species
UACGUAGGGAGCAAGCGUUGUCCGGAAUCAUUGGGCGUAAAGCGCGCGUAGGCGGCCCUGUAAGUCCGUUGUGAAAGUCAAAGGCUCAACCUUUGAAAGCCGAUGGAUACUGCAGGGCUAGAGUCCGGAAGAGGCGAGUGGAAUUCCCGGUGUAGCGGUGAAAUGCGCAGAUAUCGGGAGGAACACCAAUGGCGAAGGCAGCUUGCUGGGACGGUACUGACGCUGAGGCGCGAAAGCGUGGGGAGCGAACAGG